rnacentral:ncRNA from 1 species
UAUUCUCAGGGCGGGGCGAAACUCCCCACCGGCGGUAAAUCAGCGCACGCUGAAAGCCCGCGAGCGCUCCGAAUCACUUCGGAGGUCAGCAGAUCCGGUGUAAUUCCGGGGCCGACGGUUAAAGUCCGGAUGGGAGAGAGU